rnacentral:rRNA from 1 species
GGCCGCGGGAAUUCGAUUAGAGUUUGAUCAUGGCUCAGAGCGAACGCUGGCGGCAGGCUUAACACAUGCAAGUCGAGCGGGCGUAGCAAUACGUCAGCGGCAGACGGGUGAGUAACGCGUGGGAACAUACCUUUUGGUUCGGAACAACACAGGGAAACUUGUGCUAAUACCGGAUAAGCCCUUACGGGGAAAGAUUUAUCGCCGAAAGAUUGGCCCGCGUCUGAUUAGCUAGUUGGUGAGGUAACGGCUCACCAAGGCGACGAUCAGUAGCUGGUCUGAGAGGAUGAUCAGCCACAUUGGGACUGAGACACGGCCCAAACUCCUACGGGAGGCAGCAGUGGGGAAUAUUGGACAAUGGGCGAAAGCCUGAUCCAGCCAUGCCGCGUGAGUGAUGAAGGCCCUAGGGUUGUAAAGCUCUUUUGUGCGGGAAGA